GGGGCUGUAGCUCAUAAGCAGAGGAUCUGUUUGACACGCAGAAGGUCCUAGGUUCGAUCCCCGGCAUCUCCA
rnacentral:tRNA from 1 species